GGUCAAGUGAAUAAGCGCAUACGGUGGAUGCCUAGGCAGUGAGAGGCGAUGAAGGACGUUGUAGCAUGCGAUAAGUCUCGGGGAGUUUGCAAACUAACUUUGAUCCGAGAAUUUCCGAAUGGGGAAACCCGGCUUGCAUCAGCAAGUCAUCUUGUAGUGAAUACAUAGCUACUUGAAGCGAACCUGGGGAACUGAAACAUCUAAGUACCCAGAGGAAAAGAAAUCAACCGAGAUUCCCUUAGUAGCGGCGAGCGAACGGGGAUUAGCCCUUAAGUUGUACAGUUGUUAGUGGAACAGUCUGGAAAGUCUGGCGAUACAGGGUGAUAGCCCCGUACACGAAAACGCUGUGCAGUGAAAUCGAGUAGGUCGGAGCACGUGAAACUUUGACUGAACAUGGGGGGACCAUCCUCCAAGGCUAAAUACUCCUUACUGACCGAUAGUGAACCAGUACCGUGAGGGAAAGGCGAAAAGAACCCCGGAGAGGGGAGUGAAAUAGAUCCUGAAACCGUAUGCGUACAAGCAGUGGGAGCAUACUUGUUAUGUGACUGCGUACCUUUUGUAUAAUGGGUCAGCGACUUAAUCUCAGUGGCAAGCUUAACCGAAUAGGGGAGGCGUAGCGAAAGCGAGUCUUAAUAGGGCGUUUAGUCGCUGGGAUUAGACCCGAAACCGGGCGAUCUAUCCAUGGCCAGGCUGAAGGUGGGGUAAUACUUACUGGAGGGCCGAACCCACUUAUGUUGAAAAAUGAGGGGAUGAGCUGUGGAUCGGAGUGAAAGGCUAAUCAAGCUCGGAGAUAGCUGGUUCUCCUCGAA
rnacentral:rRNA from 1 species